AUGUAACUGUGGUUUCCGGGACACGGCAAAAGAGGGUCAGCAGUGAGAGCCACUUCGCAAUCUAUAAAGGGGAAGAGAAGAUGUGGCGCUCACUAACCGAGAGAUGCCAUCCUCGACCUCACUGAGACCUUAAAGGAUUCAAAGCAUUUGACUCAGCCGGAUCAUCUCUUCAUUUAAUCACUGGACAAAUACCUACUGAGAAAGGCACUGGUAGGAGGUGGGGAUGUACAGACAGUCCCCGACUCACGAUGGUUCGAUUUACAAUUUUUUAACUUUUUGAUGGUGCAAAAGCAAUGCACAUGCAGUGGAAACCGUACUUUGAAUUUUGAUCUUUUCCUGGGCUAGCGAUAUGCAGCUGGAUGCUCUUUCCUGAAGCUGGGCAGUGGCAGGGAGCCACAGCUCCCAGUCAGCCAUGAGAUCACAGAGUAAUGCCAGUCAGAGGUAUAAAGCAGAGUUGGUGCAAGGGGCUCUGCUCCAUACCCUCGUUCAAGAACUCUUGAAUCUUCCCAUCCAGUGGCUCUUUGGUUUCUUGACAUCUUGGAGAUCUCCAACAGAUCCUCUACAUGCAGCCAACAAGCAAAUUUCAAUGUCUAUAGAUCACCUGAUGAUCUUAUUAAAAAUGUAGAUUCUCAUUCGGGUAGGUCUAGGGUUGGACCUGAGCUGAUGCAUUGGCAUCAAGCUCUCCAGCGAUACUGACAACAGAUGGUCUCUAGCCCACACUCUGAUUAGCAAGAGCAGAAAGAAUCUCUCAGAAGGUUUUUGUUGCCAGGCAUGGAAGGGCACGCUUUUCUGCUCACAUUUAGUUGGCCAAAACUCAGACACCUGGCUGUCUAGGUGCAGGGAGGGGGCUGGAAAACCUAGUCUGGUGAUGUGUCAGGGAAGAGAGACACCCUCCACUCCCUCCCAGUUUGCUGAAAAACUAACCAAUCUCUGCCACAGCUGGGAGAGAGCCCCAGUUUCUGGCAGAAGAUUGCCACCAUCUAGAAUCCUGGAGACAAGAGGGCAUGGCGUGUUUGAGGAGCUUAGGGAAGUCCAGUGUAAUCAGAACCUGGGAAGGGAGAGGACAAGCGCCAGGUAAGCCUGGAGAGGUAGGUAGACAGAGGGCAGAGCAUGCAGGACCUAGGGGGUGACAUUAAGGAUUUUGGACAGGCAGUGGAAAGUCACUGAAGGGUGUUAGACAAGAAAAUGGCCUGAUCCAAUUUGUGUUUUAAAAAACUCACCCUGACUGCAGAGUGGAGAGUAGAUGGUGAGGGAGAUGAGAACGAGAGUGUGUGGAGAGAUCGCUCAGAACCUAUUGUGGUUGUCCAGGCAAGAAAUGACAGGGAACCUCAGACACUAUACUCCUCUCCUAUGCUAUAAAAGAGAGGUGAGAUGAUAAAUUGACCAGUCUAGCCUAUCUCUCUGCAUCUUUUUUUUUCCUGCUUUUUCUCCCCCAAUCCCCCCAGUACAUAGUUUCAUAUUUCAGUUGUGGCAUGUGGGACCCUGCCUCACCAUGGCCUGAUGAGAGGUGCCAUGUCCACGCCCAGGAUCCAAAUCUGUGAAACCCUGGGCUGCCAAAGUGGAGUGCGUGAACUUAACCACUUGGCCACGGGCCCGGCCCCUCUCUGCAUCUUUUUGAAUUUAUACUGUGAAUGAAACUGGGACCCCUUUUCCUGGUCUAACAGGUGAAUCUAACAAGCAAGCUGCGUAGGCUUAAAGUCAGGACAAAACCCCAUGCUGGACUGUGAAGCAGGCAUGUGGGCGUCAUAAGCAUGUUUCUAAAUGAACUUGCAAGCCCUUGUCUCAUAACUGAAGAUGCCAGCAGGAUGAAUGAGCAACAGGAAGAGACAGUGGGUACCUCACUCUCACAUAUCCAAACUGCAUUUCUUAGAGAUUAAGGGAAAACAUGACAACCCUGGUCCUUGCCUCCCCCCACACAUAGAUAACACCAACGUUACAAGCCUUUUUGACAUAUAACCAAAGAGCUCUUGUACUCUUUGAAGUAUAUGACUAUUAGAUGUGUAAGCCCUUUCCUGCAUGUACACUGCUUUGCUAAAAGGUAUAUAAACUGCAUCAGACCUGUAGUCCUCAGAGCAGUUCCUCAAAAUACUCUGUGGACUGUUUCCUGGGAUUUGAAUUCCUUACCUUGAAUAAACUCCUUUAAUUAACCUUUCCCCAGACUCUUUAUUUUGGUAGACAAUACUCUUAAAUCAUACACUCCAUACCAGAUUUUCACUAUAUUUGUAGUCUGUGAUUAGUCAACAUUUACGCAGAGUCUACUGUAUGUAAAAUUCUACUGAAUAUCAAAGAUACAUGAGACUUUAUCCCAGUUUUCUAGGACAGUGCUGUUAGAACUUUCUGCAAUAAAGGAAACGUUCUGCAUCUCCUCCAUUCAAUAUGGUAGCCGCUAAUCACAGGUAGCUACUGAGCAUUUGAAAUGUGGCUAGUC